GGUGAACGCUGGCGGUGCGCCUAAUACAUGCAAGUCGAACGUGAUCUAGUUGAGUUUACUUAGCUAGUGAAAGUGGCGGACGAGUGAGUAACACGUAAGAAUCUGCCCCGUACUCAGGGAUAACGGCUCGAAAGAGUCGCUAAUACCGGAUAGUCUCGAAAGAGUAAAGCUUUCGCGGUACGGGAGGAGCUUGCGGUCUAUCAGCUUGUUGGUGGGGUAAAAGCCUACCAAGGCUAUGACGGAUAGCUGGUGUGAGAGCAUGACCAGCCACGAUGGGACUGAGACACGGCCCAUACUCCUACGGGAGGCAGCAGUAAGGAAUCUUCCGCAAUGGGCGAAAGCCUGACGGAGCGACACCGCGUGGUGGAUGACGGCCUAUGGGUUGUAAACACCUUUUCUGAGGGAAGAAAAUCUGACGGUACCUCAGGAAUAAGCCCCGGCUAAUUACG
rnacentral:rRNA from 1 species